rnacentral:rRNA from 1 species
CCCUACGGGGUGCACCAGAAAGAGUUGAACUACCAGUAAUUACAUCAAUAUCGCUUGCAUAAAUAUAACUACCGCUAAAAACAGCAACUUUAUUUCUUCCAAAAUCAGUUAAACCAUAUUCAAGUGAACCAGUAAAAGCACCGUUAACGUUACUACCACUGGUCAUAAAAAUAAACAUGCCAAAAUCAAAGGUUUUCUUACUAUACAUCAUAGAACCAGAAGGUAAGAAAACAAAACUUCCUGACUUCGUUGGUAGACUACCAUCAGAACCAGUUACUAAAAUCCAAUUAUUUAAAUCAGUAAAAGUAUCCUUAAAUAAAUAACGACCGCUUGCAAUUUCUGUAUAAGGAUUAACGUAUUCAUUGCCUACGUUUGGAAAAGGAAUUGGCGGGAGAGC